GCGUCGAUAGUAUAGUGGUCAGUAUAUCAGUUUGUGGAUUAGCAAAUUCACAGUUCACUGACGACGUGAGUUCGAUUCUCACUCGACGCA